rfam:Mycobacterium neoaurum VKM Ac-1815D, complete genome.
GUCGGGGUAGUGCCCGGUGAACAGCGUCGGACGACUCGGCACGCA